GGAAAUCCUGAUGGGGAAGACCAUCACCCUUGAGGUGGAGUCUUCUGACACCAUCGACAAUGUCAAGGCCAAAAUCCAGGACAAGGAGGGGCAUCCCCCCGAAACCAAUAGCACCAUAUCUUCAUCGGCAAGCAGCUGGAGGACGGCCGUACCCUAGCCGACUACAACAGCCGAAAGGAGCCAGAAGGAGUCCACCAUCCACUUCUUCCUCCACCUCCGUGGUGACGCAACACCAAGCCCAAGAAAAAGAAGGCAAGUUUACCAGAAGGCUGGCGGUGAUUGAGGGAACUCUAGACUAAUUGUGCAUUCAACGCUGAAGGGGAUCGAUGUGCUCUCCACCAACUCUCAGCAAUUGAAGUUGUUGACAUAGGCUUAGGGUCUUCCUCGGAUAUUCUCAUUGAGUUGUAUUUUUCACUUUGAGACUUGUAUUGCUUGUUCAAACUCUUUUGGCCUCUAAUCCACAGCUACUAAUUGAUUGAAGAACAAUGAAGACAAAGUUGUGUUUUGCUCUUGAAGUGUUUCGGCAGUAGCUGCUAGCUAAGUUUAGGACUUAGAUUUAUUUUUGUAAAGCUGUAGCAGGAUGUUGAACUUAAGUAUGAUAUUUUGGCAUUUCGAAUGUAA